rnacentral:rRNA from 1 species
UGAGGAAUAUUGGUCAAUGGGCGCAGGCCUGAACCAGCCAAGUAGCGUGAAGGAUGACUGCCCUAUGGGUUGUAAACUUCUUUUAUAAAGGAAUAAAGUCGGGUAUGUAUACCCGUUUGCAUGUACUUUAUGAAUAAGGAUCGGCUAACUCCGUGCCAGCAGCCGCGGUAAUACGGAGGAUCCGAGCGUUAUCCGGAUUUAUUGGGUUUAAAGGGAGCGUAGAUGGAUGUUUAAGUCAGUUGUGAAAGUUUGCGGCUCAACCGUAAAAUUGCAGUUGAUACUGGAUAUCUUGAGUGCAGUUGAGGCAGGCGGAAUUCGUGGUGUAGCGGUGAAAUGCUUAGAUAUCACGAAGAACCCCGAUUGCGAAGGCAGCCUGCUAAACCGCCACUGACGUUGAGGCUCGAAAGUGUGGGUAUCAAACAGGAUUAGAUACCCUGGUAGUCCACACGGUAAACGAUGGAUACUCGCUGUUGGCGAUAGACUGUCAGCGGCUUAGCGAAAGCGUUAAGUAUCCCACCUGGGGAGUACGCCGGCAACGGUGAAACUCAAAGGAAUUGACGGGGGCCCGCACAAGCGGAGGAACAUGUGGUUUAAUUCGAUGAUACGCGAGGAACCUUACCCGGGCUUAAAUUGCAGAUGAAUUACGGUGAAAGCCGUAAGCCGCAAGGCGUCUGUGAAGGUGCUGCAUGGUUGUCGUCAGCUCGUGCCGUGAGGUGUCGGCUUAAAUGCCAUAACGAGCGCAACCCUUGUUGUCAGUUACUAACAGGUUUUGCUGAGGACUCUGACAAGACUGCCAUCGUAAGAUGUGAGGAAGGUGGGGAUGACGUCAAAUCAGCACGGCCCUUACGUCCGGGGCUACACACGUGUUACAAUGAGGGGUACAGAGGGCCGCUACCACGCGAGUGGAUGCCAAUCCCCAAAACCUCUCUCAGUUCGGACUGGAGUCUGCAACCCGACUCCACGAAGCUGGAUUCGCUAGUAAUCGCGCAUCAGCCACGGCGCGGUGAAUACGUUCCC